rnacentral:sRNA from 1 species
GCAUUACAUUACAUUACAUUGCAUUACAUUACAUUACAUUACAAGCACUUCAUUCGGUUCUCUGAAUUGGUAUGGGGCUGCUUGCAGUUUGAGAUGCCCAGGGAUAGGCUACCGGGGCUAAGAAAAGGAUUUGCGGAGUGGGCGCAAGAUUUCGAAAAGUUUUACUAUUGCAAGCAAUUAAAGGCUUUCAACGGGAAAAGGUUUCUAGCAAUUCGCGUUGUCACGCCAAUAAAAAGGUGAAAUGGCCAUCCAGCAGGAACAGCAGGAACAGCAGGAACAGGCGUUUUAGAACAAGCCGAAAAAGUAUCAAAAGGCUCUACUAUCGCAACAAAUGGAAGGAGAUCAAGCUAUCGAUAUUACAAUGUACAUGAUAUGCAUGCCAAACAAUGAUUAUGAACAUAGCGUAAGAAAGAAAGAAAAUUGCUAGACAUUUCGUUACGUGGUAGAUCUACAACAAUGUCAUUUUAAUCUAGGGCGACUUCAUUUUUACAAGAUCAUCUUCUACCUCCACCUUUC